rnacentral:rRNA from 1 species
GACGAACGCUGGCGGCGUGCCUAACACAUGCAAGUCGAGCGGUAAGGCCCUUUCGGGGGUACACGAGCGGCGAACGGGUGAGUAACACGUGGGUGACCUGCCUCUAGCUCUGGGAUAAGCCUGGGAAGCUGGGUCUAAUACCGGAUAUGACCUCGCGGUGCAUGUUGCGGGGUGGAAAGCCUUGUGCGGCUGGGGAUGGGCCCGCGGCCUAUCAGCUUGUUGGUGGGGUGAUGGCCUACCAAGGCGACGACGGGUAGCCGGCCUGAGAGGGCGACCGGCCACACUGGGACUGAGACACGGCCCAGACUCCUACGGGAGGCAGCAGUGGGGAAUCUUGCGCAAUGGGCGAAAGCCUGACGCAGCGACGCCGCGUGAGGGAUGACGGCCU